rnacentral:rRNA from 1 species
CUGGUUGAUCCUGCCAGUAGUCAYASGCUUGUCUCAAAGAUUAAGCCAUGCAUGUCUAAGUAUAAGCAAUUUAUACAGUGAAACCGCGAAUGGCUCAUUAAAUCAGUUAUCGUUUAUUUGAUAGUACCUUACUACUGGGAUGACCGUGGUAAUUCUAGAGCUAAUACAUGCUUAAAAUCCCGACUGUUUGGAAGGGAUGUAUUUAUUAGAUAAAAAAUCAAUGUCUUCGGACUCUUUGAUGAUUCAUAAUAACUUUUCGAAUCGCAUGGCCUUGUGCUGGCGAUGGUUCAUUCAAAUUUCUGCCCUAUCAACUUUCGAUGGUAGGAUAGUGGCCUACCAUGGUUUCAACGGGUAACGGGGAAUAAGGGUUCGAUUCCGGAGAGGGAGCCUGAGAAACGGCUACCACAUCCAAGGAAGGCAGCAGGCGCGCAAAUUACCCAAUCCCGACACGGGGAGGUAGUGACAAUAAAUAACGAUACAGGGCCCUUUCGGGUCUUGUAAUUGGAAUGAGUACAAUGUAAAUACCUUAACGAGGAACAAUUGGAGGGCAAGUCUGGU